GUGGGACAGAGCCGGGCACAGGCGGCGGAUGGAGCGGAACGGCGAGGGGUCUUGAGAAGCAAUGGCCACAGAAGCCCCUGUGAACGUAGCGCCACCUGAGUGCAGCUCUGUUGUCAGCACGGCAGCUGACAACCUCCUUUGGCAGCCAGACUCACUCAAGAGGCACAUGAUAAGGCCCAAGUCUGCCAAGGGACGGACAAGACCGAGUCUGCAGAAACCCCAGGGCACGGAGGUGUGCUCUCAUCACGUGCCACCUUCUCCGCCUCCAGCCAUUCCCUACGAGUCUCCAAGCAGCCAAAAACCAGGCGCCUGUCCACCCAAAUCGCCAAGCCAGGGAGUCUCUGAUGAGAUCCCUGAGCUGCUGCAGCAAGUGCCCAUUGGGGGUUCCUCUUCUCUCAAUAAGUAUCCAGUCCUUCCUUCCAUCAACAGAAAGAUCCUGGAGGAGGAGGCUGUGGAAACAGUCGCGGAAAAGGCCAGCUCGCUGCAACUGAGCAGCACCCGGGCUCUCGACCAAGAGGAGACCCGCGCAAGAGAAGAAGAUUCCAGAGCUCGUGCUUGUACCGUAGAGAGGAAAUUCAAGAGACAGGGCUCGCGCAGGGCCGGAAACCUGGAGGAACCAUCGGACCAAGAACCCAGGUUGCUGCUUGCCGUCAGAUCACCAACGGGCCAAAGUUUAGGAAGCAGCAGCCCUCCUAACAGUCGACGCGGAAGCACAGAUCUCUGGAGGUAUUUUUGGACACACUUAAAUCCUAUCCCAAGAGGCUGAACCACUGUGGAGACAAAUGCCCAGGGGUAAAACUGCGCAAGCCUCAUUCAGACUGACCUGCUCAGAGGCGCCCUCUGGCUGCCGUGUUGAGGGGCUGGGGUGGAAGAUGGAAGACCAGGUGCUGGAGGUAUGACCAAGACCCAGCAAGACGGGAUGGUGGCUCGGGCCAGGGUGGUAGCCAGAGAUGUCAUGAGAGGUGACCAGAUUCUGGACAUAUAGUCCAUUUUUUUAAGGAAAAAACAAAGGCUAGUUUGACAAGUUGGGAUUUACCCAAGUGGACUUAGCUUGACCAAUAUCACCAACGUGGAUUGCUUCUGCAAAAACAAAGAUGCAAACAAACACCAUGGCAGCAAAGCACAUGCCAGGCGGGGAAAAGAUACUGACCAGCAGGAACAUUCACAUCCAGGAAAUGCAUGAGUGUUUUUGGACAAAGUGUACAGAGAAAACCAAAGCUAUUGUUUUAAUUAAGAGAGAAAACUAACGUCACUGUUUCACUUAAUGUUUAGGUGAAAGUUAAAAGUAAUUAUCUAACUCUAGGGGUGUGUGAUGUGAUUGCUGACCAAGGUUACUUAAUAAGAAAUCUUCGUUCCAGUUAAAUCCAUUGUUUAUCUCUGUCUCCCAUCCUUCAUCCCUCCUGUUCUUGCUACCUUUCCUUCCAUUUAUUCCAAUCCAGCAGCUGACUGGGGAUGCAUUUCUUCUUGGGAGGGCAAAUGAAGCCAUCAUUCUGGGGCCUAAUUAAUAAAGCUCCUAGUUUCAUAAUGUUCGUGCCCACCUCGUGUUUAUAUAGGGGAAUCUGUGCAGUGGGGCCUUUUUGUGACCAGCUGAGAGCUGUGUCUCUCUGACAUUUGUCCUCUUUGACAGGAGAUGUUAUGCGUAGGUGUCAUGGGUCCACUCUGGCUGGUGAGCGCCUCCAGCAGAUAGCCUGGGUCUGCUCUAGCUCUAGCCACUGUUAACAAGAACGGCCAGCCACCUGCAGACAAACCCUGGGAGAAUGGCGGGAGCUCCCACCCUGCCAGCUGGGACGUAUUGUCUGGAAACUGCUGCUUCCCAUCCCUCCCCCUGUAUACAACCGUGGGAUCCUGCAGAUGUCAGCCCAGACCAGAUGUAAGUAUACCAGGUCCUGAAGACUCUGGAUCUGGGCUCUUGGCCACUCUGUAGAGGAUUUCCCCAGCCCCGGCCUGGACCUCAGCUCACUCUUUUCCUUCCUUUUUUUUUUUUUCCCCUUUUGUCACCCAGGCUGGAGUGCAGUGGCACGAUCUCGGCUCACUGCAAACUUGUCCUCCUGGGUUCAAGCGAUUCUCCCACCUCAGCUUCCCAAGUAGCUGGGACUACAGCUGCGCACCACCAUGCCUAGCUAACUUUUUGUAUUUUCAUAGAGAUGGGGUCUCACCAUGUUGUCCGGGGGACAACCCUGCUCCUGAGCUCAGGCAAUCGGCCCACCUCAGCCUCCCGAAGUGCUAGGAUUACAGGCUCGAGCCACCGCACCCAACACUCUAUUCCUUCUUAAUGGAGUUCCCAGCAGGCUGUCAUCUGAUUGAAAUCAUCUGUAACAAAUUCAUUCAACAAAUACAUAUUAAGCACCUAGAUGGCAGGCACAUAUCAGGCUCAUCAGUGAAC
rnacentral:lncRNA from 1 species